rnacentral:rRNA from 1 species
GAUGAACGCUAGCGGCAGGCCUAACACAUGCAAGUCGAGGGGCAGCACAGAAACAGCAAUGCUUUGGUGGCGACCGGCGGACGGGUGCGUAACGCGUAUGCAACCUACCUUUAACUGGGGGAUAACGGAGAGAAAUUUCCACUAAUACCCCAUAACAUCGAUCAAGCCAUCUUGAUUGGUUGAAAACUCCGGUGGUUAAAGAUGGGCAUGCGUUGUAUUAGGUAGUUGGUGAGGUAAUGGCUCACCAAGCCUACGAUACAUAGGGGGACUGAGAGGUUAGCCCCCCACACUGGUACUGUGACACGGACCAGACUCCUACGGGAGGCAGCAGUGAGGAAUAUUGGUCAAUGGGGGCAACCCUGAACCAGCCAUGCCGCGUGCAGGAAGACGGCUCUAUGAGUUGUAAACUGCUUUUAAACAGGGAUAAAGCACAGUAUGUAUACUGUGUUGAAGGUACUGUAAGAAUAAGGAUCGGCUAACUCCGUGCCAGCCGCCGCGGUAA